CCCCUCUACCAUAUGAGAACUUCUAUAGCAACCAGAGAACUCCCUCCACCACGGCAAGCCCCUCCAAUCAACAGGAGGGUGCCACCCAUUCCAGACAGUAAUGCGUCAGGUGAUGUUCUCUAUUCAACCAUAACAGAACCAAGCUACAGCACCAUACGAUACUGAUCACCAAAGCUUACAUUUUGUUGAUGACGCUUCGUCCCUGUACAGUUAGGAACAGCAGAAAACCCUCUGCGCUCUAUCGCCUUCUCCUCUACCUACUGAAGACUGCUGUGCCGUUCAUCAUGCAGUCUGCUCUUGGCUUUUGAUUAUGAAGUGCUGUGAUUUUGUAAAUAUGGAAUACAUAAUUUAGAACUAAAUCUGAGAUUAAAUAAUUUAUUGACAGAUUGUAAUAAAAAACAAUUGCAGUGA